UUCUUCUUCUCUAAAUCCCCAAAUUUCCUCUCAAACUAUUCAUUCCAACACAUUAUUUCCCAGAGUGAGGCCAUCACUACGUUGGUUUUCUUCUAGGCUAGUACCACUGGUGAGCUUGAGAUAAUUCAUUUGAGCAUCUCCAGGAACUAUGGGAUCAUCUUUGUUAUACUUAUCAAGUUUCCCACUUUCAGUAUUGAUGGCAAUAUCUUCACUAUUGGGACCUCAUCCAACACGCUGGUCCUCUUUGUCUCAGAAGGCUCACUAAUGAUAAUGCCAAUCUGUUUCUUGGUUACUUGCUUAGUUCUGUCCCAUUUGUGUCCGGAGCCCACAUUAAAACUUCGACUAAAUUCGGAUAUGCACUACAGAGCUCAUUUGGGGGUGCGCUCUCAAUAGAAUUUUCUCCAUAUCCAAAGCUCAAACUCGAGACCUCUGAUUAAGGAUGAUACAGUCUCACCACUGUACCACAGCCCAUGUUGGAGAAGCUUUCUUUUGGCAUUGUUUGAAGGCGGUCCAGAAGGAAAAAGCUUUAAUUUAGCGAUUCAUGUGCAAUUUCAGCCUUGAGGUUAUAAAUGUAUUUUUCUUGCUUAAGAUAUUGAACUAUUGGGUCCAAGAUCGUGCUU